GGGGGGGGGGGGGGGGGGGGCUGGGGGGUGCGAGUCGGGCGGGGAGGCGGGGGGGGUGCGGGUCGGACGUUGGCGGCGGGCGGGGUAGUGACACGUGGGUCACCUCCCUACUAUACUUGGGUCACUUCGGGAGACCGGCGCUACUACCGUAUCAUCUCUUUAACCGCAUGGUUCCAUAGUGACAUACGGCUUUGCUGUCACUUAUAGAUGCAUCCGCGCCGCAUUGGAUAGUUGGUAAGGUAACGGCUUACCAAGGCUACGAUGCGUAGCCGACCUGAGAGGGUGAUAGGCCACACUGGAACUGAGACACGGUCAAGACUCCUACGGGAGGCAGCAGUAGGGAAUCUUACGCAAUGGGCGAAAGCAUGACGGAGCAAGGCCGAGUGAGUGAUGAAGGUCUUCGGAUCGUAAAACUCUGUUAUUAGGGAAGAACAAAUGUGGAAGUAAACAUGCACGUCGUGACGGUACCGAAUAAGAAAGCAACGGCUAACUACGUG
rnacentral:rRNA from 1 species